CACAAGGAGGUCUUCUCUUCAAGAUGCCUCAAUGCUGUAUUAUGUCACCAUGAAUCAAAAGGUUCGUUUGCGAUGCUUCAGCUUGUUGUUACAAGCUAUUGAAAAUUCAGGUUUGCUGAACUAAACUCCUUGGAGCUUUUGAUGCAUUGGUCUGGAAAGCUAAAUCUAUAAAGCAAGCUUGGCUUGGAUAUAUGAAGCCAAGACCAACAGAGAAGUUCAAGCAAGCCCAAGACCCACAUGGAAGUCAUGUUAUCGAUUGGGAAUAUUGUUUUGUUGGGCUUAGAUUACUCAUUGGUUCUCUGUCUUAUAAUGAAUUGGAAUAUGCAAGUAUGUAUGACCAAAAGUUCCCUUCGACAAUUAGAAAAAUACAUGCAUUAUUUGUAAUUUCUUCGUUGUACUGCUGCUUGAGUUACUCAACUUUGCUUCAGUGGCUUGGUGAAAUAUCACUUUUGCUUA